GUAACAAGUGUAAGUGUGCACUUGAUGUUAGAUCCUCUACCUUCGGCACCUAAUUGGUGUUGGAGACCAAGCAUUCAUCACCCAUGUCUCACUAUUAUUUCAUUUACUCCUUAUUUAUGUAAAUAAAUAUUCUCAUUCACUUUUUAAUAUCCAAAUCCAAUAUCUUAACUAAGAUUCUUCACACUCAAUAUGAACAUCCAAUCUAGGAAGGAGUUUGAGACCACAGAUGCACAAGGUGAUGUAGCAAGGAAGGGUCCAGAGAUUAAGGCCGUGCAAGUAACUCACCAGCAUCCACCAACCAACCAAAAGACCAGCGGUGGUGUCCUCACCAGUGCCGCUGCCGCUGCCACAUUGGCACUGGAAUCCGCAAAAGAUGCAAUAUCUCAAAAGUAAAUGGAACAAAAGAUUACCCUUCCGACUUCAGAAUCGCUUACAAUUUUCAUUGUUUUGGGAGGGUAUUAAGACUUUAUGAUUUAUAUUUUGUAUAGGGUAUUUGAGCAAUACUUCUAUGUUCGUCUUGUAAGUACACAAUGUGCUUAAAUGUUUAUCAAAUAUGCAAUGCGUUGCCUCCA